UGGGGAAUAUUGGGCAAUGGGCGAAAGCCUGACCCAGCCACGCCGCGUGAGUGAUGAAGGCCUUCGGGUCGUAAAGCUCUGUGGAGGGGGACGAACAAGCCGGCCAACUACCGGCCCUGACGGUACCCCUUUAGCAAGCACCGGCUAACCAUGUGCCAGCAGCCGCGGUAAUACAUGGGGUGCAAACGUUGCUCGGAAUUAUUGGGCGUAAAGCGCGCGUAGGCGGUUGCUUAAGUCAGAUGUGAAAGCCCUCGGCUUAACUGAGGAAGUGCAUCUGAGACUGAGCAGCUAGAGUAUGAAAGAGGGUCGCGGAAUUCCCGGUGUAGAGGUGAAAUUCGUAGAUAUCGGGAGGAACACCGGCGGCGAAGGCGGCGACCUGGUUCAAGACUGACGCUGAGGCGCGAAAGCGUGGGGAGCAAACAGG
rnacentral:rRNA from 1 species